GACGAACCGAGCGAACGUUGUUCGGAAUCACUGGGCUUAAAGGGUGCGUAGGCGGGCUGCCAAGUUUGGGGUGAAAUCCUCCGGCUCAACCGGGGAAGUGCCUUGAAUACUGGCGGUCUCGAGGGAGGUAGGGGCGUGCGGAACUAACGGUGGAGCGGUGAAAUGCGUAGAUAUCUGGAGGAAUACCGGUGGCGAAGGCGGCAUCCUGGACCAUUACUGACGCUGAGGCGCGAAAGCUAGGGGAGCAAACGGG
rnacentral:rRNA from 1 species